rnacentral:rRNA from 1 species
UACGAAGGGGGCUAGCGUUGCUCGGAAUCACUGGGCGUAAAGCGCACGUAGGCGGAUCUUUAAGUCAGGGGUGAAAUCCCGAGGCUCAACCUCGGAACUGCCUUUGAUACUGGGGAUCUCGAGUCCGGAAGAGGUUGGUGGAACUCCGAGUGUAGAGGUGAAAUUCGUAGAUAUUCGGAAGAACACCAGUGGCGAAGGCGGC